GCCGCUCCCGGAUCGAUCCUCUCCCCUCGCGCUCGCGGCGCUCUCCUCGCGCUUCUCCCUCCUCCGCCUGCACCCCCGUCGAUCCCCUCGCGUUUCACCGCCCCCAUCGUCUCUCGCCUCGCCGGUAUCCUCCAUCACAAGAGGGCUCAGGACGACCCCAGCGGCGCAUGAGGGUAUCCUCCGACACAAGAGGGCUGAGGGUGAGCACGCGGCGCAUGGCGUGCUGAGGGUGAGUGCAGCUGACGACGGCACAUGACGAGCCCAUCCGGCUGCACGGUAUCUAUCCCCAAACCCUAAAAUUUUCCCAUCUCUUUCUUCAAAUCCAUCUAGAAAUUUUCAGAUCGGGGAAUUUGUCUUUGCCUGUGAUGUCUGUACAAUAACAUGUUGUAUACAUGCUGGGAUGCCUCAAUGUAUGGUUGCUGAUGAUGGAAUCAGAAAAUGGUAUAGAAGCUUUUCUUGAUGGAAGCAUUUUAAGACUUGUACUACACCAGACGUGCCCCCUUGAGAAACAAAGAAUGAUGGGACCCUAGGAGUUAGUGGUAUAUAUCAGCGACACACUUGCAUGGCCAGGGGAAUCGCAACUCAGGUGCUCACCGAGGAUCAACUGUUCAGGAUCCAGGAUUUUUAGCAUUUGUUUUUAUUGAACGCUGGAAUUACAUUUCUCCUCGUGCCAUCUAAAGAUAUUUGGCUGCAGUUCGAUGAGUAUGUCGAAAAAGGCAAAAAGCGCAUCCAUUGAAUGAUCCAUGGUGCAAAUACUUGUGGAUCAUAUAAAAUCAUUUCAAAUUGUCAUAGAUAUUUAGAUAUGUUGUACCGAAGAACUCUGAUAACUCAUAGUGCUCUACUUCAUGCUUAUCUUACAAAUUUAUAUUCUGAACCAUCUAUAUAGUACCAGCUCUUUAUCUGUAAAAUUUGAGACCAUCGCAAAGUUAAAUUGAAGUUUGAUGAUGAUUAAUAUAUUUUAUGAUGCUA